CGAGGAGGAGCAUGGCGGCCGUCCUCAGUGCAUUUCCACCGCACAGGCGCGGGAGUAGAGGCGUGCAGAGGGUAAAACGGGAAGCUUCUUUAGGCCCUUGUCCUCUGUCGUCUACAUCAGACCUGCCUCGUCCCAUCCAAGCCGAUCACCUUCUGAGAGGACCUGGCCCCCGAGCUCAGGAGCACCCCAGCUCUCAGGACACAGCCCCUCGUGGUGGGACAGCGCCUGCACCUGCAGCCCUGUAGCCCCUGCACAAGGAAUUUGUUGAGGGAAUUUGUAUUUUCUGCUGCUUUCUCCUUGAACCUAUUUGCAUUUUAAAUAAUU
rnacentral:lncRNA from 1 species